AAGAGAGAGAGACACAGAGAAAGAGAGGAGGAGGAGGAGGACCGAUGCCGACCACCACCGACCCACCCAUCGGAGCGACGACCACCACCACUACCAGUAACGCGCAACACCGCCUCCAGCGAUCACCGGCGCACCCCUUCCCUUUCGCCCAGUUUUUUGUCCCCACACAGCACAGAAGAACAGAGGCAGCGAAAUACGAACAGGUUUGGAGACCGAAAAAGGGAGAGGUAGAUGCGAGAUCUUGGCGUCUUUCACGCUAUAUCUGGAGUUUUCUUCCACGUAAUAUUCUUACUCUCUCAGUCCUUCUUGCUGUCUUCUAGGGUUUUGUUGCGGAGGCGAUUGAGAUGGAGGUUCCAACGCUGCCGAUUUAGGAGGUCCUGAAUCGGCCCACAGCCGCCUUGCCCCAGUCCGAGUUCUUGACCCGGCAAGAGGUCCUAAAGCGCGCGCAAGCGACUGGCCAAGGUGUACGGAGACCAUUACUGGUCCAUGAUGGAGAAUGUCAAGAUGAAGUUCAGGGAGUACUGCUGGGAGUACGGCUUCCAGGAGAAGUCUCUAUUUUACAUGCUCACAUCGGCUCGACGGUGAAGAACAGAGGUUCACUUUUAUGUUGUUUCGGCAAUUGGAACUUUGAAGGAGCAACCAACACAGUGUAGGACUAGGAUGUUGAAUCAAUACUGUAAGAAUUUGCAUGUCAUCAACGAUAGUUUGGAGGAUGGGUGAGGUGAAUUUUAUGAUGAAAUAACAGCGCUUAUGGAUCCUAUUAUGGAUUGCCUAGGCUGAGGAGGGAAAGAUUUUAACUUUGUUGCGCUUAUGGAUUGGGAGGGAAAGAUUUAUCCUGUAAAGGAAGUUAGGCCUCCACAAAUCCCUGAGGAUCCUAAUCCUGUUAUUAAGAGUGAAAAAUUCCAAGCGCCAACUCAUAUUAUUUCUACAAUUUUUGAUGUCAAAGGUGAAGAGUCAUGAUACGCUGGUAUCCCUAUGCCUUCCAUUGUUGAACAGGAGUAUGGGGUGGGUGAUGUUAUUUUCCUGUUGUGGUUCAAACGCAGUCUCCCCAAUUACUGCACAGAGUUUAUUGAGAUUUGCAUAAUGUUAUGUGCCGACCAUGGUCCCUGUGUGUUUGGUGCUCAUAACACCAUAGUAACUACAAGGACAGGAAAAGAUUUUCUGUCUAGAGGGCCAACCUAAGAGUUUUUAGUACCCAAAGCCUAAUAAAAAAACCUAUGCCCUUUAGAGUUAAUACCUGACCAUUUUUACUACAACAAUCACAAUACGAGAAGGCCUAACCAAUAUAAAGUUAUACUAAUUAUUACAUACGAAUACAAAAUACAAAGUCUCCAAAUAGGCAAAUACAUAUUAUCUCAAGAACGCAUGAGUAUCACUAAAAUUGUUAAAAAGAGUCCUACUCAAACCCAAGUAGUAAAAAUAUUGGAGUGCCCUUAAAAUUUGGGAUUUUUUUGGAUGCCCAAGGCGCAGGCCUCUUGGACCUUGUGCCAGGCCCGGCUCUGUGUCCAGCCUUGUUGUAGGUAUGUAAUGAAGAUAUGUUAGCCAAAAAAGUUUUUCCUGGGGGCUGUUUUCAAAACAGGCACAACUGAAAUGCCUUUUCGAAACAAGUUUGCUAGCAAUUGGUCCCCGAUUUGGUGGGGCUAUUGAUGAUGAUGCUCGAUCCUUUAAUGAAGCUUAUGACAAGGUUAGUUCUUAUGAGAAUUUUACCACGCACAAGAGAAGAAUGCACACGCCGUUUGAUUUGCUAAUGGUUUCUGAAUCUAUC